UUAACUUAUUACAAUAUUACUCAGACAACACAAAAAUCAAGAGUUUAGGGUCCUCUGGCAGGCACUGACCAGCUGAUGCCGGUAGUCAAAAGACAGGCCUGCCAAAGCAACAAAGGUAUAGUAAACAAAGGGUGGAGAUCUACCCCAAGGGGCAAGUUCUCUGUAAUGAUCCUUCCGCAGGUUCACCUACGGAAA
rnacentral:misc_RNA from 1 species